AACGAACGCUGGCGGCAGGCUUAACACAUGCAAGUCGAACGGUUGUAGCAAUACAGCAGUGGCAGACGGGUGAGUAACACGUGGGAACCUUCCUAGGGGUACGGAACAACUCAGGGAAACUUGAGCUAAUACCGUAUACGUCCGUGAGGAGAAAGAUUUAUCGCCCUUAGACGGGCCCGCGUCGGAUUAGCUAGUUGGUGGGGUAACGGCCUACCAAGGCGACGAUCCGUAGCUGAUCUUAGAGGAUGAUCAGCCACACUGGGACUGAGACACGGGCCAGGCUCCUACGGGAGGCAGCAGUGGGGAAUCUUGGAACAUGGGCGCAAGCCUGAACCAGCCCUGCCGCGUGAGUGAAGAAGGUCUUCGGAUUGUAAAGCUCUUUUGCCAGGGACGAUAAUGACGGUACCUGGAGAAUAAGCCCCGGCAAACUUCGUGCCAGCCGCCGCCGUAA
rnacentral:rRNA from 1 species